rnacentral:lncRNA from 1 species
AGGUACACAGUGAAUACUGGUUCCAUUUUUCUUUUCUUUGCUUUCAGGUACCCUGUAUUCCAAAAGGCUCUGAAGAGAAUGCCCUUCUACACCUCCUUAAUCCUCUGGAAAGUCAAGUCCAGCAUGGGUCCAGAUCAGAACAAUAGAACUUGAACAAAAAGAAAACUCAACAGGUUUUUAAACAUACACUUAAAGUGAUUUCCUAAGAAGAGUAAACAUAGAGAACUUGUGAUCCAG